AAAAAGGCAAACCCUGGGUUUCCGUGUCCAACUUUGACUGUCCGUCUUAUGUGAAAUUUUUUUAUAAUUCGUAUUUUCAUUGUUGUUAGAUGAUAAAACAUGAUUAAUAUUUUAUGCGUGACUUGUCUUUUUAAUUUUUUUCAAAUAAGACGGACGGUCAAACGUUGGGCAUGGAAACCAGGGUUUGUCUUUUU
rnacentral:pre_miRNA from 1 species